AGAGCAAGAGAAGCCAACUUUAGGAGCAUGCACGUUGUGAUAUCCUCAGCGAUUUCUUUUACAAUGCAUUCUGCUUAGGCCAGUGAAUUUUGUUUAACUGACCAGUGAAAGAAAAAAAAAUUAAAUGAAAAAAGAAACUGAAGAAGUUGAUUAUACCAGAAUUCAGCGGAGCUGAACGGCUUCCCGAAGAGCACUGAGUUUUCUAUGCCAGAUUCUGCUCCAGUGGCUAGGACCUUUAUGGCUGCUGUUUCUUUUGCUCUGGGCUCUGAUGGAGGA